GUAGCAGCAGUGGCGGUGGGGUCCACAGGGGAGUUGAAGACGGAAUGGUAGCAAGCAAGCAGCGACGGCUGGAUGAAUACUCCCAGGAGACAAUGUGGACAUCUCAAGACAGGCACUGGACAAUGGCUGAAGACUUGUCUGAAGACUGGAAAUAUUUUGAAAAUUCAGAGAGAAAAAAAAGGCCCCUCUGAAUACACCGUACUCUAAGGACAGUUUAUGCAGGUGCUUCCUACACAAGAAGUCACAUGACCACAGAGUGUCAUUUGUCAAAGAACCAAGAACUUGUUCAAAACUCUACAGAGCAUCCAAUCUAUCACGUGGAUAUGCAAUAAUGAGAGCCUUCUGAAGAUGCCUAGACAAUCCUGGGAUGAGUAACAGUCUUUUAU
rnacentral:lncRNA from 1 species